rnacentral:rRNA from 1 species
UACGGGAGGCAGCAGUGGGGAAUAUUGCACAAUGGGCGAAAGCCUGAUGCAGCUAUGCCGCGUGUAUGAAGAAGGCCUUAGGGUUGUAAAGUACUUUCAUCGGGGAGGAAAAAACAAAACUAAUAAUUUUAUUUCUUGACGUUACCCGAAAAAGAAGCACCGGCUAACUCCGUGCCAGCAGCCGCGGUAAUACGGAGGGUGCUAGCGUUAAUCAGAAUUACUGGGCGUAAAGAGCACGUAGGUGGUUUUUUUAAGUCAGAUGUGAAAUCCCUGGGCUUAACCUAGGAACUGCAUUUUGAAACUGAAAUACUAGAGUAUCGUAGAGGGAGGUAGAAUUCUAGGUGUAGCGGUGAAAUGCGUAGAUAUCUGGAGGAAUACCUGUGGCGAAAGCGGCCUCCUAAACGAAUACUGACACUGAGGUGCGAAAGCGUGGGGAGCAAACGAGGGAUUAGAUA